GACGAACGCUGGCGGCGUGCUUAACACAUGCAAGUCGAACGGAAAGGCCCUGCUUUUGUGGGGUGCUCGAGUGGCGAACGGGUGAGUAACACGUGAGUUACCUGCCCUUGACUUUGGGAUAACUUCAGGAAACUGGGGCUAAUACCGGAUAGGAGCUCCUGCUGCAUGGUGGGGGUUGGAAAGUUUCGGCGGUUGGGGAUGGACUCGCGGCUUAUCAGCUUGUUGGUGGGGUAGUGUCUUACCAAGGCUUUGACGGGUAGCCGGCCUGAGAGGGUGACCGGCCACAUUGGGACUGAGAUACGGCCCAGACUCCUACGGGAGGCAGCAGUGGGGAAUAUUGCACAAUGGGCGGAAGCCUGAUGCAGCAACGCCGCGUGCGGGAUGACGGCCUUCGGGUUGUAAACCGCUUUCGCCUGUGACGAAGCGUGAGUGACGGUAAUGGGUAAAGAAGCACCGGCUAACUACGUG
rnacentral:rRNA from 1 species